AUGUAAUCAGUGUGGACGAUCAUCAGCACUCCCAUCCCGAUUCUACGAGCUGGAGCUGAACAUUCAGGGCCACAAGAAUCUCUCUAAGUGCAUCACUGAGUUCCUAAAGGAAGAGAAGCUGGAUGAUGACAACCGUUACUUCUGCGAGAGCUGUCAGAGUAAACAGAACGCCACCCGCAGGAUCAAACUGCACAGCCUACCAUCUACUCUCAACUUGCAACUCAUGCGUUUUAUCUUUGACAGACAAACGGGCCAUAAGAAGAAGCUCAACACUUUCAUCAGCUUUCCAGAACAACUGGAUAUGGGACCAUUUUUAGAAGAUAAACAAGACCAGAAGUGCAUCUAUGAACUCAGUGCAGUUCUGAUCCAUCGGGGCAUCAGUGCCUAUUCAGGCCACUACAUAGCACAUGUGAAGGACGCCCUUAUUGGUGACUGGUACAAAUUCAAUGAUGAAGAAAUAGAGAAAAUGGAGGGAAAGAAGCUGCAGCUUGGUGUUGAAGAGGACAUUGGUGACACUGUGAAAUCCCAGUCACGAAAGCCAAAGUGCAGUAAAGGCUACCACUGCUCUAGAAAUGCUUACAUGUUGGUGUAUAAGAUCCUGGGUGAGGAGACCUCUGACCCCACUAGGACCAAUGUGGAGGUGCCACCCUUCCUGCAGAGGUUAGUAGACCAAGAUAACCGUAAGUUUGAAGAGUGGUGUACUGAGAUGGCUGACAUGAGAAAACAGAGUGUGGAUAAGGGCAAGGCCAAGCAUGAAGAGGUGAAGAAGCUCUACACGCUUUUGUCUGCAAGAGAUGGAGAACAGUAUGACUUCAUUCCUACAGACUGGCUGAAGAAGUGGCUCGAUGACUCAACCGUCUCAAAGGAAAUAGACAGCUCACUCUUCCUUUGUUCCCAUGGAAAACUGCACCCAGACAAGGUGGGAGAAGUCAAGAGGAUUUCCUUUCAAGCUGCAAACCUCCUGUAUGAACGCUACGGUGGCGGUCCAAGACUAGAUGGCUCCUCUCUUUGUAGAGAGUGCGUUAGCCAGCAGUGCAGAGUGCUGCGGCUGAAGAACCAGCUCAGUGAGGAUUUUAAGGAAGUCUCUAAUCUAGUCAAACGCUCUAUCAGUGGCGAGGGCUACUGGGUGGGUAAAGCAUCUUUGCGUAGCUGGAGGCAGUUGGCUUUGGAGCAGUUGGAAGAAGAUGAACAUGAAACCAAACCCAGCAACUGCCAGACCAACGGUCAGGGUCUACACAGCAACAACAAGGACUUUGCUUCAGAUCUAUCAGAGGCCCUUGAGGAUGAGAUGAAGACUUUCAAUGAAGAUAUCGUCUGCAGUCAUGGAGGCCUGAGUAUUCUGGAGACAGAACGGAAGCUAGUCUCUACUGAAGUGUGGACCAAGCUGAGAAAAUAUUUCCCUAAAUCGCCAAAGUUCUCGCAGAACCAGGAGCUCUGUCAGCAGUGUCUGACAUUAGAGCAGGAGGAAAAGGACAAUGAGGCGGUCAGUAAGAUGAUGGCUCUCGAUCAGAAGAGCCAGCUUCCCAACCUCUUCCAUGAAAAGAACCGACCAACACUCACAAAGUGGCCUCAGGGCACAGAUGUCCUUUACAUUGUCCCUCUGUUCUUUGUUGAUGAGUGGAAAAAAUUCAUCAGGAGACCCACUAAAUCCUCUCCAGUGUCCAACGUGGGCAACACUCUGCUGCUCUGUCCUCACGGGGGCUUCAUGUUCACCUACGAGUCUCUGAUCAAUGGAGAGGCACAACAUGUAACGUUGCUUUGGCCUGACGAGUGGGAGGUAAUCAGCAGGCUCUUCAUUGUUGACCACUCAAUAUCCAUCCACUGCUUGAAACAAAGCACAUCUAACGAUGGCUCCGCCCAGUUCACCACCCAGCCUGAACUGUGUUGGGAGUGCAGAGAGAGCUUCUUGUUCCAGCAACAGCGGGAUCUCAGGGAGUAUACCCAAGCAACAAUCUACAUCCGCAAAGUCCUUGAAGAUAAAGGGAUGAAGGAUGCUGCUCCAGAGCUGAAUGCCAGCAGCUCUGAGGCAGAAGAGGAGAGAGAGGAGCAUCAUAAGUUGGAUGGAGGGACAGAUCCAGACUUCAGUCAGUUACAAGACAAUGCUAAACGACUCAAGCUGAGUGAUGGUGCUGCUCUCUUUGUAACCAAUGUGACCAAACCCGGUGGGAUCAGGAGAAGCACCCGGCACAGGAAACUCCGAGGAGAAAAGGCACUCAUUGUUUCAGCAAAUCAGACACUAAAGGAGCUGAAGAUCCAGAUCAUGCAUGCCUUCUCUGUGGCGCCGUUUGACCAGAACCUCUCCAUCAAUGGAAAAGGCCUGACGGAUGAUUCAGCCACACUGGGCAAUCUGGGGGUCAUCCCAGACAGCAUCAUCUGUCUGAAGCCGCAUGUCUUGAACACUCGGGUGAAGCUCUCAACUGACUGCCACCUGGUGGUGAGUUGGCUUCGAUGGUGGGGAGGAUUCCAUUCAGACUUGGCAGUCCCAAACAUGUGGCUGACGAGCCGAUAGCAGAUUAUGCAGCAAUGGAUGAUGCCUAUCAGGUCAGAGUUCCUGAGGAAGGAUUUAAAGGCACUGGGCUUCUCGGACACUGAGGAAAGCUCUUCUUUAUUUCGUUUGAUAGAAGUCAGACGUGUUUUUUUCAAGCUUGGAUUUGUUAAAUGUUAUGCAAAAAGUGCUUUAACUAUUAUGUUUUGUUGAGAUUUCCUUUGAUAAAACUGUGACUCUUUUGCAAAGCUUCUGUUUUCUGCAUAAAGGUCAAAAAUGUUCUGAAGGACUGAGUCUGGAACUCUGAAGACAAGUAGCCUGUUGUUCUCAUGAGUUUUUAUUCUGUUUGACUGUCAGUCCAGAAACGAAACUUUUAAUUGGGUUUGAAUUGUGGUACAUGGAAAAUGCAAGCUCACUUUACAGUUUAUUAAAGCUUUUGUUGUCACUGCAGGAUUUACAGGUAUGUCCAAAUGAUCCCUAAUAACAGGUAAUUAUUACUUCUAGACGUUAAAACAUGUUCAGCGUUCAUGUACACUGUGAGGUGGUUAGAGUCGAAACUACGACCUGGUUUCAGAAGUGAGAAACAGGACCAGCUGUUAUUUCUUAUGAACAAUAAAGCUAUUUUCCAGGCA